GACGAACCUUGCUAACGUUAUUCGGAAUUACUGGGCUUAAAGGGUGCGUAGGCGGUGCGGAAAGUCGGGUGUGAAAUCCCCCAGCUCAACUGGGGAAUUGCGCCUGAAACUACCGUGCUCGAGGAAGACAGAGGUACGCGGAACUUAGGGUGGAGCGGUGAAAUGCGUUGAUAUCCUAAGGAACACCGGUGGCGAAGGCGGGUCUCUGGGGCUUUUCUGACGCUGAGGAACGAAAGCCAGGGUAGCGAACGGG
rnacentral:rRNA from 1 species